rnacentral:rRNA from 1 species
GACGAACGCUGGCGGCGUGCUUAACACAUGCAAGUCGAACGGUAAGGCCUUUCGGGUUCCACGAGUGGCGAACGGGUGAGUAACACGUGGGUGAUCUGCCCUGCACUUCGGGAUAAGCCCGGGAAACUGGGUCUAAUACCGGAUAGGACUGCGCGGUGCAUGCCGUUUGGUGGAAAGAUUUAUCGGUGCAGGAUGGGCCCGCGGCCUAUCAGCUUGUUGGUGGGGUAAUGGCCUACCAAGGCGACGACGGGUAGCCGGCCUGAGAGGGCGACCGGCCACACUGGGACUGAGACACGGCCCAGACUCCUACGGGAGGCAGCAGUGGGGAAUAUUGCACAAUGGGCGGAAGCCUGAUGCAGCGACGCCGCGUGAGGGAUGACGGCCUUCGGGUUGUAAACCGCUUUCAGCAGGGACGAAGCGUGAGUGACGGUACCUGCAGAAGAAGCACCGGCCAACUACGUG